rnacentral:lncRNA from 1 species
CCCUUCCUGUGGGCUUGGGGUUUUGCUUCCGGGUUCCAGCGCCCGUCACCGAUAAAGUCGACCUGUUCCCUCAGGCCGCGGGGCGUCUCGGCGUCCGCGCCUUCCUAUGAGCGUCUGGGGCAGGGGCGACGCUGGGCUGACAAGCGCAGCGGGGCCUGCGGCCUUCGAGCCUGGACAUCAGGCCCGUGUCCCUCCCGCCGGCGCUUCGGGGCAGCCCCGCGUCACCCUGGCGGCGCUCCCCGCACAAGGGCGGAGAGGAAGGACGGGCUGCGACGUGGAGGGUCCCGCGCGCGGCUGACGAGUCCGUGCGAACGCGGGCGAGGCGCCCCGUGGGAGCCGGGAGGAGGGGAGUCCCGGGAAGGGGCGGCUCGCUCGCAGGGUCCCGCGGGCGUGGGACCGAGGGCAGGACGCGCGUGCGGAGCGGCGGACGGCACCCCGGAGCAUGGGGAGGACCCUGAGCGCCCCUCGCAGGUCCGCGAGGGCGGCGGCGGCGCGGACAGGUGAGCCUCCCCUCGGGGACGCCCCUCGGUCCCCCGGGGCGGAGCGCGCGGCGGGGCUGCUGGCGCGGCGGCGGCUGUCGGGGCGCUCGCUGGUGCGGGGCUUGGGCAGGCAUUGACUUUGUCUGCUUGCGCUGCUCCGGGCCGGCGGUUUUCAGAGUCUUCGCCGCUGCCUUGCUGCGGUUCUCAGUCGCUACCCCACGGUCUUCCCCGGCUCGGAGUCGGGCAGCGCCUCCCAGGUGCGUGCGGGGCGGGGCCGCGGGGGUCCCCGGCUCCGCGUCUCCCUUGGUUGCCGGUCCGAGGACCGCUGCAUCCUCGCGGCCGCUGCACCCACGGCCGGGCCGGAGCUUUGCCCCUGUGGUUUGCGCGGGCUGGGAAGGCAUUUUCUCCGCGUUGGUGCCGUCCGCACCCCAGUUUUCUUUCCGUAGAGGCCCCACGGCCGCUGAGGACCGUUCGCUUUGAAAAGGAGGCGUGAAAAGAAGAGGUCUUUCCCGGGAGGGUGGGUGGUUCAGCAGAAACCGAGGCAGCGCGGGAGGACUGUCCUCCUGGGCUGGUCCGUGCCACCCGGGGCGUCUCCCGGCGGCACCUCGCAGCGUUUGUGGCAGAACGUGGCAGGUCCGUCUCAAACGCGGAGCGAGAUUCUUGGGAAAUCCGCACGUUUCCCUUAAUCCCCGAAAACUUAGUUCCACCUCUGUCACCCUUCACUUCGCGGUGAGGCAGAGGUGGGAUGGCGAGAGGCUUGAGGACGCGGGCUAGACCUAAGUGUCGGGCACGCACAUGGUGUUACUGCGGAGGCAUCGGCGACCCGGGGCCGCGGCUUUGCCCUGAAGAAGCGUGAGAAGGGCGGGGUGGUUAUGGGGUUUCGUCCGGAGCCUCUGCGAGGGGAGGCCUGCGGCAAAGCAGUGUAAGAGUGCUUCCCUCUAGAACUGGGUGGUUCUGCACAGUGUGUUCCGUGUGCAGCAGUAAGUAACCCGGUCCAGAGAAGAAGUAAAAGUGACACAGUGUUUGUUCACCCUUAUGUGAAGGAAGACAGCAGUGUCUGAAAUGUUGUGUUUUCAGGACGUUUAUCCAAAGGUAACAGUUCUUUUUUAGAAAAAGCUGUAUCACAAGCAUCUCCUGUAAUCCAGACAUCGUUGCUGAAAUGAAUUAAAAUCCAAAAAGGGUCUAAAAACUUGCUUGAAACAUAACGUUUGUUAAAUGAAUGCAGUAGGAUGUGCUGUAUCUGUUUAGGAUAAUUAAAUAGGUAUGGCACCUAUUUAUCAAAUGAGUCUUUCAUGCCUCUAUUGAUGUUGAAGUUAUUUUUAAGUUUUCCCCUAUAAUUAAAAUGCUGCAGUGAUUAUCUUUUUUGCCAUUAUAAACAGUGCUUCGUGUGUUCACCAUAGUAUUUCUGUGCAUCAUUGCUUCCUUAUGAGAAUGAUGGAUAAUAAUAUUGUUAAAUUACCUUCAAAUGAUUGUACCCUCUUAUAUUCACUCUCUCAAAAGGUGUGUUUGUGUUCCCCCAUUAGCCAGCACUGGAUGAUAAUUUUACUAAUUUUCUGAUAUUUGAAAAUAACAUCUCAUUGAAAUGUUUGUCUUCCUUGGAUAAUCAGAAAGUUAAACAUUUUUGGCCAGGUCAUAUCCUUUGCUGUUUUAUUUUGGUUUUUUUAAAUUGGGUUCUGAACUUUGACCCAUUUCUAUUACCACACUGUUUUCAUUAUUGUAGCUUUACAGUAUAUUUUGGCACUUUCUUUUGAAAAAAGCUUUGGGCUCUUCUUUUGCAUUUUUUUGCAGAUGAAAUUUAGAACCAUCUUUUCAAGUUCUAUAGAAAAUCUUGUUGGGAUAUUGUUUCUGAUUGCAUUGAACUUAUAGAUUAAAUUGAGAAGAGACAUUUUUUUGAGUUUUUCCCUCAAGGAAAAUAGGUAUGUUUCCUUGUUUCUUCUGUUCAGAUUUUUGUUGUAAAAUAUACCAUCUGUGUGUACUGUUUUAAAAAUAAAGUUUAUCUGUGUACCCUGCUUGAUCACAAGGACCCUUAGCACUUAGAAGCCUUUGUUCUCCCCAGAAGCAAGAAUUCCCUGCCCCAUCCCACCACAGGCAUCCUGAAUUUUGUGUUAAUUAUUCCCUUGAUUUUCUUUGUAGUUUUAUCAACCAUGUGUGUAUCCUUAACCAACAUAUUGUUUACUUUGACCUGCUUUUGGACUUUAAGUAGAAUUUGCUGAAUAUUCUGUGAUUUAUUUUUGUUAAACGUUAUGUCUCUGAGAUUGUUCUCUAUUAAAGCAUGUACCUGUAGUUCAGAAAGUCUGAAAUUUCAGGACUCCUUCACAGUUCUAGAAACUAUCCAGGACCCCAAAAUUAUCUUUUGCUUCUGUGGAUUAUAUCAUAUUAGAUGGGAAAACCAAGCCCGUUUUUAAAUAUGGAUAUUGGUAUAUUUAUAUAUAAGCAUAUGGCAUAUUUAUUGAUAGUAAACCUGUUACAUUUUAAACAACAUUUUUGAUGAAAUAUAGCUUCCAGAACCGAAAAUAAGUUGGUGCAAGAAUGGCAUUCUUCUAUAUUUUCUCAAAUAUCUUUACUGAUUAGACUCUCUUAUUUGCUUCUGCAUUCAAUCUGUUGCAAUAUAUUGUUUUGCUUGCAGUAUGUGAAGAAAAUCUGGCCUCACUGAGCUGUAUAUUUAGAAGAGGAAGGAGUGUUUUAAUCAUCUUUUAACUAUUAUGUUUUUCUUUAAUACUCAUCAAAAUCUAAUAGUUUCUUAAAGGUUAACUGCAUUGUAGAAUUUGUACAAAUUUCAUUUUAUAUGAAUAUGUUAUAUGUACAAAUUUCAUUUGAAGCCACUGAACUCAAAGGCAUCAGUAGUAAAACCUGAGCUGUCUUUCUUUUAAAAGGGAUCUUUCACCCACACAUUGGUCAUGUGAAAGAUAUUAUUAGUUCACUGAAUGAUGUAGAUUUCCCAAAUGAUGGCACAUUUCAAUUGAUAAUAUCAAAAAAGUGACAUAUCUUAUUAUCAUCACCAUUUUGGGAACCACUCCUUGAUUCACUCAUUUUUGUUAAUAAGCUACUAUAAGAAUAUAUUAAGUGUUUAUCCGUUUUAUUCUUUAAGAACGUAUUGGUUAUCUGGGCCAUUAGUGGUGCCCAUUAGUAUUAGGUUGUCUCCACGUGCAUAUACACAGUACUUUCACUUGGGCAUGUUGGUAGUGGAAUUGCUGGAUCUGUUGGGAGGAUAUGUGGAUGUUCAAUUUCAUUAGAUAAUAUCUAACUUCUCGAAUAGUGAUUCUGAUUUAUACUCCACCAGUUGUAAGUGGAACCUCCCUUUGAUCUCCCUUCUCUCCAUUCUAUAUGACAUUGGCCGCCUUUUUAAUUUUUGCUAAAAGUAAAAUUAUACAGUACUGUGGUUUUAAACUGCUUACUUAAAAGAAAUUGAGGGUCUCUCUUCUCUGUAAUAUGUCUUGUUUUCCCCAGUUUUUCUACUGAGUGCUUGUUUUCUCUUAUUAAUACCUAAGAAUUAAAAUAAAAUGUUACAUAUACAAGUUAAUGAACUCUUG